rnacentral:rRNA from 1 species
CCUACGGUUGGCAGCAGUGGGGAAUAUUGCGCAAUGGGCGAAAGCCUGACGCAGCGACGCCGCGUGAGGGAUGAAGGUCUUCGGAUCGGAAAACUCUGUCAGCAGGGAAGAACGGUCACUGUGCUAAUCAGCAGUGAAUUGACGGUACCUGCAAAGGAAGCACCAGCUAACUCCGUGCCAGCAGCCGCGGUAAUACGGAGGGUGCGAGCGUUAAUCGGAAUUACUGGGCGUACAGCGCUCGUAGGUGGUAUGUCAAGUCAAGGGUGAAAUCCCCGCGCUCAACGUGGGAACUGCCUUUGAAACUGGCAAACUGGAGUGUGAGAGAGGAUAGUGGAAUUCGAGGUGUAGGAGUGAAAUGCGUAGAUAUCUGGAAGAACAUCGGUGGCGAAGGCGACUAUCUGGCACAUAACUGACGCUGAGGAGCGAAAGCGUGGGUAGCGAACAGGAUUAGAUACCCUUGUAGUC